UGAUGAGCUGGGCUCAUUCGCUAUCUGAACCCCCAACUGGUUAGUUCAUUUUUACUGUAGAAGAAACACAUUAACUGGCGACGAGGUGAAACAAAAAAAAAAGUUUGGAAAGUUUUCUAGGAAAUAGAUCCGGUAAAGUGUUAGUGAAAAAUUUGCCUGUUGGAGAGCUGAAGACCAUUCCGGGUUACUGAUAACCAGAACUGAAGAGGAAUACCAAAUCUCAGGAAGAGACCAGACCUGCAGCAAGGCCUUUAUCGACACGGGAGCGGUGCAUGUCGAACCAUAUAAGAGCGGCCAUAGGGGUUUUGCUUAUCCGGUGAAGAUUGAAAAACAACUGCUAAUUGGCACGGUUUCGGUGGAACGGAGUUUAUUUUACACGACGGUUGAAGUUGACCAGAUUUUCGUUCGAUCGCUAGUGAUCUUUGCUUCCGCUGAUUUGGCGAUUCCGCAGGCCAACUGGCUGGUGUGGAUUGUGAUCCCGGUAAAUUGGUGGAAAUUGGAAGCGCGCGAACCACGGCUCAUCGAACGCAAGUCAGACUGUUUAAUGAUCCGAGUCCACUGGAGCGGCCAAACAUCACGCUUCCUGUUCCCUGUAUCCAAGAUAACAUGGCUCGAACGAGCAGCCUGCCGGUUACUGCCGGUGGUGAGCAGAACGAAGAUUGUGGGGAGAGAUCGCCCACUCAAGGAAUCAAACGUAAACGCGUAGAGCAGUAUCAGCCGGAGCAGACCUUGCGGCGAUCGAAGCGCGUCAAGCAAACUAAAACGGACUCAAACUUUGUUUAUUACAAUUAAUUAAUUAAGACAUUGGAUUCAUUUUGAAAUCAAAGAUUAGUUAUGUAAUACUAUAAUGAUAGAUCUCAUUUUGAAAGGGGGAAGAACUUGUAGUGUCUAGUUGGACGCUUUCGAACAAGGUUUACUUUCAGUGUAAACUUAUUAAUUGAAUUGCCU